UCCUCGGUAGUACAGUGGGUCAGUAUGC
rnacentral:sRNA from 1 species